UACGGAGGAUUCAAGCGUUAUCCGGAUUUAUUGGGUUUAAAGGGUGCGUAGGCGGCUUUUUAAGUCAGGGGUGAAAGACGGUAGCUCAACUAUCGCAGUGCCCUUGAUACUGAAGAGCUUGAAUGGACUAGAGGUAGGCGGAAUGUGACAAGUAGCGGUGAAAUGCAUAGAUAUGUCACAGAACACCGAUUGCGAAGGCAGCUUACUAUGGUUUUAUUGACGCUGAGGCACGAAAGCGUGGGGAUCAAACAGG
rnacentral:rRNA from 1 species